rnacentral:lncRNA from 1 species
AUCUUUGUGGCAUUCCUUGCUCGUGUGUUUUUUCUUUAAGGAAAAUGUUGUGUGUGAAAAGUAUAUGUCGAGAACAGAACAGUAACACAUGAACUUUAACCGAAGAGAUUGAGUAGGAGGAAUUGACAUGUGAAGUGUGUUUGAGAGGAAAUAAUGUGUGUCUUGUUUGACCAAGUUAUGGUUUUGCAAUAAUUGGAGAAAGAAAACAAAAGGUCUUUUAUGGCUGCCAAAGUCUAAGGUGAGAUGGCCCUGUGCUUUC